ACACACACACACUCACACCACGCCCUCCUUGUGGAAUUCAACUGUAGGUUUUUUGAAUUUUCUGCAAACGUCUAUAAAUAGUCCUGUUUAGCUGUUCUAAUGUUAGUUGUGUGUGUGUGUGUGUGUGUGUGUGUGGCCGACCCGUCGCGAGGAAACGAAAGUAACGAGAUGCUAUGUAGAAGUGAGAUGGGGUGAACGGAGGGCAUGUGACGUGUUGAGAGGACACAUGUGACGAGAAGGAAAAAAAUAGAUUAAGUCAAAGCGUUUCCUCUUUUCAUCGAUGGAUGUGUUGAAAGGACAGACCGUCCACCGUAGCUGGUGGAGGGACUGACGGUGGUAGUGUGGGACCACACAGGCCAUUUUUCUGCUGUCACUGAUCUCAGCCCAUUGCGUGUUGGCCGUCAAAGGAGCCCUGCUCGGGCAGCUUCCCUCGUCUCCCCAUCGCGCCUGCCUUCCAACCAUCUUGUCCCUCGUCCUUCUUCUCCGCUGCUUCACAGCAGCUAAUACCGAUUAAGCACAAGACAACCACACCAGCAGGCUUCCAGUUACAUUUCCUUUACCGCUCCCUGAACCGCGCUUUCUCUCUCGCUCGCUCUCUCUCUCUCGCUCUCUCUCUCUGGAUCUUGUUCCCACCCUCCUUUUCCUCCAUGAAGCGCUCGCUGUAAUACCCAGUCACUCUCGCAGACACAGAGGGGGAGAGAGACAGAAACUGAAUACCGGACUUGCCGACCGGAGAAGGAGUUUUUUUUUUUCUUCUUUGAAGAAAAGGAGCUUGAAAAGAGACAUUAUCUCUCUCUCUUCGUUUUGUCUGGCCACGUCCUCCCCUCCUCUGUCCCUCUGCUGGGCCGACCGGCGCAGACACACACACAGAGGACUGCGGCAGCCUCGGCCAUCACGGUCAGCUGGGUGAGUUCUUCCCUUCUCUCCUUCCUCGCAUCUUGGCUCAUCGCCCUGCCGACCUCCUUUUCUUCCUCCUCCUCCUCCUUCAUCUCACAGGCAAUCAGAUCUCAUUUUGUCUUCCUCACGAACAGGCUUAGCCUCCAUGCAGCCCCGAGCCGCGUGAUUGACAGGUGCGGUCCCAGAGGACCGACCAGCCUGCCGCUGUCAGGAGAUGUGAUUGCUCAUAGGGAGAAUAUAAGUUGUAAGGAGCUUUUGGUAUUUUUUUAACGACGGAGGGCAAUUUUAAUCCGGCUGUGCCGCUCUGCUCGCCGUCUGACUGGCAGCACUGCGCAUGUGCAUGGUGCAGCAUUUUGUGUUUUUUUUUUUAAUGUUUUUUUUAAGUGGAGAAUGAAAUGUGUUGUGCUAUUGAUAAUCAUGCUCCGAUUUGGCCGAGCAAGGCCGCGAAAUACGCCACGACAGAGCCACUCUCCUGAGCAUCAUGCAAUGAUCAAAUGCCAUCCCCCUUGUUGUGUGUGUGUGUGUGUGUGUGUGUGUAUGUGUGUGUGUGUGAGCCCAUCCAGGCGUGACUACAGCACACGUGCGUUCACUUGAAAUAAGAUGACUUGUGGUUAAUGUUUGUAUUAACAGCGCGUGCGAUGUGAUUCACGGUACGUAUCGGUAUCCGCCUACCCGCAGAAUACCACAAUGCUUAUUGUCACACAACAUGAAAAUGCGAUGCAUGAAGUAAAGCAUGUACGGCAGGUGCGCGCGGAUCUGACCCACCAAGACCAGCGAGUGAACUUAUGGCUAAAGUGAGUCUUAGGUCUUAGGCGCAGCACAAAUCCAUGGAGAGAGGUAGCUGCCAUUGUCUGCUCGAGUCUCAGCCAUGCGGCACAUUAUGCACUCUGUGUGGCAUAUAGCAUGGACCAGACCACAAAAGCAAUCGGUAC
ensembl:lncRNA